rnacentral:tRNA from 1 species
GAGGCUAUAGCUCGGUUGAUAGAGUGCUUACCUUGCAUGAAAAGGCCCUGGGUUCAAUCCCCAGCACCACA